rnacentral:rRNA from 1 species
UACGUAGGGUGCGAGCGUUGUCCGGAAUUACUGGGCGUAAAGAGCUCGUAGGUGGUUUGUCGCGUUGUUCGUGAAAACUCACAACUCAAUUGUGGGCGUGCGGGCGAUACGGGCAGACUGGAGUACUGCAGGGGAGACUGGAAUUCCUGGUGUAGCGGUGGAAUGCGCAGAUAUCAGGAGGAACACCGGUGGCGAAGGCGGGUCUCUGGGCCGAUACUGACGCUGAGGAGCGAAAGCAUGGGG